GGACAAUACUUGUGGGAUAAAUAUCGAGUUUGUUGGGUGAGGCUUGUUCAUGAUGUCCGGUUCACCAACAAA
rnacentral:ribozyme from 1 species